rnacentral:rRNA from 1 species
CAGCAGCCGCGGUAAUACGUAGGGUGCAAGCGUUGUCCGGAAUNACUGGGCGUAAAGAGUUCGUAGGCGGUUUGUCGCGUCGUUUGUGAAAACCAGCAGCUCAACUGCUGGCUUGCAGGCGAUACGGGCAGACUUGAGUACUGCAGGGGAGACUGGAAUUCCUGGUGUAGGGGUGAAAUGCGCAGAUANCAGGAGGAACACCGGUGGCGAAGGCGGGUCUCUGGGCAGUAACUGACGCUGAGGAACGAAAGCGUGGGUAGCGAACAGGAUUAGAUACCCUGGUAGUCCACGCCGUAAACGGUGGGCGCUAGGUGUGGGUUCCUUCCACGGAAUCCGUGCCGUAGCUAACGCAUUAAGCGCCCCGCCUGGGGAGU